rnacentral:rRNA from 1 species
AAUCAACGCUGGCGGCGUGCCUCAGACAUGCAAGUCGAACGCGAAAACUCCCUUCGGGGAGCAAGUAGAGUGGCGCACGGGUGAGUAACACGUAGGUAAUCUACCUUUGGAUGGGGAAUAACAACCGGAAACGGUUGCUAAUACCGCAUAAUGCAGCGGCACCUAAUGGUGACAGUUGUUAAAGCGGGGGAUCGCAAGACCUCGCGUCUGAAGAGGAGCCUGCGGCAGAUUAGCUAGUUGGUAAGGUAACGGCUUACCAAGGCGAUGAUCUGUAGCCGGCCUGAGAGGGCGGUCGGCCACACUGACACUGACAUACGGGUCAGACUCCUACGGGAGGCAGCAGUCGGGAAUUUUGGGCAAUGGGCGAAAGCCUGACCCAGCAACGCCGCGUGAAGGAUGAAAUCCCUCGGGAUGUAAACUUCGCAAGAACGGGAAGAAUAAGCCGGUGUAAAUACCACCGGCGAUGACGGUACUGUUUGUAAGCUCCGGCUAACUCCGUGCCAGCAGCCGG